GCCCCAGUCCAUACAGGAUGCGGAGGAUGGUCCCAAUCACCCAGGAAGCAGAACUGGAGCUCAGCCAGGUUUUGCUAAAAGCAAAAGAACCCUGAAUGGGAAGGUGAAGAGAUGUGUCACUGUUAAGGAUAACAGCAAUGCACACACUUAUUGGAGGCUUCCAGCUGGACAGGGAAUAAAACAAUUUUGAAAUGCACCAGAGCAUUCUGUUCUUCUUAACAAGCUUGCCCUCGGGGCAAACUAUUAACCAGAACCUAACCAGGUGUGGUAUUAUCAGAGGCUCCCUUACCUUGAAAAUUGAAAUACCCAGCUCGAGACAGCACAACUCCAGCCCAAAUACUUUUCAUAAAGCAACAAAUUGCAAAAGUCAAAAUAAAAAUCAAUAGCGUGUAUUUCAGUGUGUCUUUCUCAGAGGUUUAUAAAAGGUACUGAUCAAAUCAAAUGCUUUUUGAACCAUUUCUGACACCUGUUUGCUUGCUCAUGGAUGAUUUAAAUAAACAUUUGAUACAUGUUCAUUCAUCCCAUAUUUAUGUGACAGUCACAUAUUUAACUUUUGAGAAAUUAUACUUUUGCAGAACAUUCAUCUAAUCAUGUCUCAAAUAGGCUCAUUGAUUUAUACAUUAAUAUAACCCUAUUUAUAUAAAUUAGGAUAAACCUAUUGAAAUUAUAUGAACCUUUAUGAAAAUUUGGACUCAAAGAAAUAGAGAAAUAAAAUAAUGCGUGAACACUAUUUUCUCUUCUAAAUUUCAGUACUCAUUAAAAUACCAGGACACAAGUGGUCCAUGGCUGAGCAAAGGGAAAGGUGAGCUUGUCUCCCUUCUAAACAUGGAACACAGAGACAGCGCCAGCUGUGUCUGUUGAGCACUUGCCCUUGGAAACACUUCUCAUGGGAGGAAUGGUUGGAAUCGUGCUUCCCCUGAAUUUAAACCUAGAUUAAACAGAAGAACGAAGAAAACUACCCAAGAGGCUCUUUUCUCAUAUUUCCAAGACACGUAUACUAAAGACUGACUUUUAAACUAAACUGGUCACAUUUUAUCAUUAUGAACUAUCAUAUUUAUUUAAUUUUAAGGCAAAACUUUGGUUUAUUUUAUCAG
ensembl:lncRNA